UACGUAGGGUGCGAGCAUUGUCCGGAAUUAUUGGGCGUAAAGAGCUCGUAGGCGGUGUGUCGCGUCGGCCGUGAAAACCUGGGGCUCAACUCUGGGCGUGCGGUCGAUACGGGCAUCACUUGAGUUCGGCAGGGGAGACUGGAAUUCCUGGUGUAGCGGUGAAAUGCGCAGAUAUCAGGAGGAACACCGGUGGCGAAGGCGGGUCUCUGGGCCGAUACUGACGCUGAGGAGCGAAAGCAUGGGUAGCGAACAGG
rnacentral:rRNA from 1 species